AAGUCGUAACAAGGUUUCCGUAGGUGAACCUGCGGAAGGAUCAUUAACACGUAUCCAACGUUAAACCCCCCUGUGAACUUUUACACUUGCUCUCGUGGCCUGCUAAAAUUGCAAUCCCUGGUAAAUCAUUGUUGAACAGAUUUUGAUUCAGGGACCUCAGUUUGGUAGGUUUCGAUCGAGCGAUCGUUGCAAGUGACCUGGUUUCCAGAAGCAUCAUGUCUGAAAGUGUCAUUGUUGUAUAAGAAUAACGCUUUACGAUCACUGGCCAAACACCGGCUAGUGGACGGGUCGCAGCGGCUUCGGCCCCCCCAUAUUCACCCCACGACCAAACUGCUGGGCAACAAAACGAACAACUGUUAACAAUGGAUAUCUUGGUUCUC
rnacentral:misc_RNA from 1 species